AAGGGGCAGAGGGAUUAGGAGAGGGAGGCUAGGAAGAUGAAACAGGUUUGAAAAGGCAACUGAAACCAGCUUACGUUUUUCAAAACUAUUGGGAAUUUUUUAUAGAGUAAAUGAAGGGAUUUCACUCUUCUGAAAUUCGUUACUUACAACUUUAAAAAGGGACACAGGUAAUUUUCACCUAUGAUCUCUGCUAUCUCUGCUGUGGUUGAUUUCAAAUACUGCGCACGUAUACCUUAAUCAGGUAUCUGUCCCUAAAAAGUGUUAGGAGAGGAAUUAAAUGUUAAAUUGAAAGGAAACUGAAGGAAAAUAGAAGAUCAAAGAAGACUUAAUCCUAAUAACACAGGGACAGUAAAUUGCAGACAGAUGGUGGACUUUGAGAAAGUACCCCCAAAAAGAGUUUAAGCAAGGCAAAUUUAAACUGAAAACUCAGAAAAAUACCAAGAUGGAGAUUUUAAAGAGAAUCGAGAAAAUUAAAAAAACUGAACAGGAAAAGCCAAGAGAAAUUGAAGAUAAAUGAAGGAAUGUGAAGGGGUGGGGGAAAUCAAGCUUUAUUUACCCUUCAAACUAAUGAGUCUUUGGAUGAAAAGAAGGAGCACAUGAAUCUGAAGUCUGCUUAAAGAAGAGGGAAAAUGAGUAGGAAAAAUAGAAGGCUUUUCUUUUAAAAGGCAACUAGAGAAGUUAUUUCAUGAAGGAAAAGUUUGGGGUUUUUGUUGCUGAAGCUAGAAAUGUGCAUGUCGAGAGAAAAAAAGCAAAGAAGACAAGGAGAGGACAAAGCCAUUCCUUCUAAUUUCAUGUUGGCUCACGUUGCCUUGGAAGAAAAGAAAGACAGGUAAGUUAAAAACUUGCUGAAAAGGCAAAUAAAGCAUUUUGAGGAUGAACCUGUUGAUGGCGACUGGAGAGUGGCUGCUCAGGGACAUGGCAAGUCUAGGAUCCUGUGGGAAAGUGCUUUCUCCAAAGGAAGUUACUGAGAAAGGUUAGAGUGCUGGAUUAGGACCUGGGAGACUCGAGUUCAAAUCCUCACUCUGCCAUGAAGCGCUCUAUCUCUCAGCCUUACCUACCUCACAGGGUUGUUGUGAGGAUCCAAUGAGGAAGCAGACUAGAACAUCAGCUCCACUAAGCCUUUCCAGCAGAUACAUCAAGGAGAACCCUGCAGUAGAUGUUUGAGGGGCACCUGCAUUUUGACUGUCCUGCAUUAGGUAAUCUGCUCUUUUUCCCCACUACUCGGUGAUCUUUUUCCGUGCAAUGCUUUGUACUGGUCUCUCCUUUUUAAUCUCUUCACGUGCUUCAUGAAAAAAUGGCAGUCAAAAUGGCACUCUGUGACUGAACCACAUCUAGGUGAGUAUCCCUUGCUUGACUAGGGAGGAAAUAUCUAGUCAAAAUGGAACUCUGUGAUUCCUCAUUCGUUUUAAGGUUGUGUCAAGACGAUUUGCGACCUGUUACAAUAAAGGAUUCUUCUGUAUCUUCCCAUCUUAAAUGGAGCCUUCAGCUCUGGAAUAUGUCUCCAAUGUGUCUUGCAAGUGGAGGAUUCCAGUGGAGGCAGAACGAAUGCUUGUAGGUUAUAGAGCGGUACUGAAAGGACUGGCCUUUCCAGCAACAACGGGAAACGGACGUCAAAAGGUAACUAUGCAACAGGGCAGGCAAACCUAUCACUUCUCACUUUGAAGCGACCAUCGCAGCUGAAGGAAGGUAACUACCUAGUACUCUUGAAUAUUCAGAGGUGAUGACAGGCUCAAAUACCUCUCAAGUAAACCCUAAACGCUACAUCACAAUGAUAGCAGCAAUAUACUUGUAUACAUUAUGCCUGAAGGACAUCUACGUGAGUAUCUUUUGCUUAGCUGGGAAGAAAAUUUAUAUUGCGUUCUUCUGCAACUCUUUGUGCAAAGACUGUUUCAGCUCACAGGAGAAGGACAAUCCCACCGCCAUGAACUCACUGGAGAAAAGGUAAGUUAUUGAUGUAAUAAUACAUAAAAUAUACAAGUUCCUAAGGAGCUUGCACUUGGCAACAUUGGUCAUUCAGUCAUUCUUUUCAGAUGAGCUGGGAACUGAAGACGCCAGGUGGCCGCCAUUCCUGUUUCCAAGGGAACUUCUACUGUCGAGAUGUCACUGCAGAGAAGACCUUUUCCUGUGUCGGUCCACAGUGAGGUACACUUGCGGGUGGGACAACACUCUUUCUUUUGUUCCAGAUCUUCUGAUUUACAGACGUCGCAGAGUUCACUGUGUCUGAGGCAGAACUGUUCUGUUAACUCCUAAGAUGCAAAGUGAGUAAGAGCUCUUGAUACAUCAAGUAAAAACCUGCAGCAGUGUAUUAUUGAGAGAAACAUGCAUUUUGAUUGCGCGGCUUUAGGUAACCUGCUGUUUUUGUUCCUCUGUUUCUGUAGGAGAGAGAAAAGGGGCUGGAGACCCCAGUCUCUUCCAGGUGCAUCUCAUUGACACCCUCUCUUUAUAGUUGUGUCUGAAGAGCCCACAACACUCAGAUGAAGCGGACUUCCGGGGUGGCGCCAUCGGCAACGGCGGACUCCCUCUGAUCUGGAGGGACUAGCUCCACGCGAAACGGGUCUUUUCCGCUACGGCGAAGCGGGGACCCUUUCAAAAAUCACAGGCAGAUGAAGCCUGUGACCAUGGGACUCGGCGGGCACCUUUAGCGCCCCCCCAACCCACAAAAGAACCCACUAACGGGCUCCGGAGCGAAGAGGGGGAAGUGGUGCGGUGCUGAGAGUCAACUGCUUCUUCCGUGGAGUGAAGCCGCACAGCCGUUGCCGGAGAGCGCUGCCUUUUUCCUGGGACAAUUUGGCUCCUAAAAUAAUCACCCGUGAGUACUUAAAUUUCGGACAAUUGGACUUUAAAUAAGGACUUGCGAGCAGAAAGGAAAAUUGGACUUAAAAGUUUACCUCAAUUUGGCACUGAAACGGGAAGGUCUAAACAGGAAGUCAGCCUUCCGUUUCUUUGUAGAUAGAUUAAAGCAAAGACAUGGCAAACUAGAGCUCAGAAAAUUGCUUGUAAAAGAUUAACUUUCAUCAUUUAAAAUUGUUGAACCCCCCUUCGGAAGCAGGAGAAGAGGGGGAUUGUUUCGGACUGUUUAAACCUGCAGAAGUGAGUGUAAAGUAAAGUAACUUUCCACCGUCCUGAUCCUGGAGCGGGGUGUCAGGACUGACGUUUUUUGAAGCUCAUUGACCAGAGACAAACGUUUUUGACAGAUAGCUAUAAGAAGAGAAAUAUUGAUUCCAUUGUUCCCCUUCGCAUUUUAAAGGAACAAAUAUUUACAAAAUAUCUGAAAAAGGAAACUUUGUUGUUAGACUUGUCUUUAAAAGAAAGAACAAAUAGAAGUUUUCCCCCUAGAGGGAGACUGUGAAACUGUAACCAACUCCGGGAGCUUGCAGCUGUUACAGAUUACAAUCGUGGGAAUAGACAUCUGACCUUGCAGGACAAUGUAUUCAGAAGCUCUGUUGCGUGCUUUCUGUAAAACAAAUGCCCUACUGGAACAGCUACAUGAGAAGACGGACUUGAUGACUGAUGCGAUCAGAAAUUUUGAACAGGCAGUGGGAUAUUAUAUGGAGCCCACCCAGGAAUUAAAUCAGGAGUGUGCCCUGACAGAACAGAUGAGGGAAGAGGAUGUUGCUGAAUCUUGGGCGCCAGAGAUGAAGGGAGCUGUGGCCCAGCAGGAACAUGAGCUUUUGGACUUGACAAAUGAACUUGGAAAAAGCCAGAUUUGGAAAGAUAAAGUUUGGUUUGGUUUGGAAAUGGGGGGUUGGAUAGACCCCCCUAUGCAGGGAUGUUUGGACCUUUCAAGUCUGGCAAUGGGCCGUGAGAUGUUUGGGGUUGUGGGGGCUCUUAAUUUUGGAGGGAUUUUGAAACAUUUUCUUAAAUACCGCAUGGAGUUUAGUGUGGACUAUGGAAAAGGGGCUGAUUUGUCGAGAAGGGUCAAAAACAUUGUUAAGCUGGAGUUCCCACGAGUGAAAGGAGCAGGAGACAAAGGAAAAUACAGUUAUAAAUAUGAAGAAGAGCUGCGGAAGGGACAUGGAAGAGACUUAAGGGCCUCGGAUACAAGGUUACCAGGUUAAUGCGCUAGAUCGAUGGGAUAAUAAGGACUGACAAAACCCGGGACCAGGAGGAAGGGACGCUGGAUGAAGAUUGGAUUGUUUUCAUUUCUUUUUUUUACUACUAGGAUUGUUUUAUAAAAUUGAUGAAUGUUAGAAGAAUGUUGGAACGAAAUUACUUGGCUUUAGCAAAAAUGUUUAAAGAAUUAUGUAAGAAUAUUAUGGUUAUGAGAAGUUGGUAAAAAUAAGAUUUAAGUUUUAAACUUUAAGGUGCUUUAUAGUAAGAUAAGAUUAAAAUAGAUUAAGGUAAUGUAAGGACAGAAUAUUAUGAAAUAUGGAAAGGAUUUGCUGCGACAAUUAACAACUAGGAUACAAAAAAAGGGAGGAGGAGGAGGUCAAAGAAAGAAGGUAAUGACAGUUGAGGAUUUGAGAAUGAUGGAUUUGUUUUUGAGUGUUUGUGGUAUUUUUGUUUUUUGAAUUUGUAUUGUUUGAUGUGGUUUGUUUUUUCUUUGUUUUUUCUUUCUCUUUUUCUGCUUUGUUCUCUUUUGUAAUUCUAAAAAUUUUCAAUAAAUAUCAUUUAAAAAAAACAACACUCAGAUGAAGCCACCUCUUCCUGCAGAGUCACAGAAGUCAUGUGGACGUAUUUUAC